rnacentral:rRNA from 1 species
GACGUAGGGCGCGAGCGUUGUCCGGAUUUAUUGGGCGUAAAGAGCUCGUAGGCGGCUUGUCGCGUCGACUGUGAAAACCCGCGGCUACCAACCGCGGGCCUGCCAGCCCGAUACGGGCAGGCUAGAGUUCGGUAGGGGAGGACUGGAAUUCCUGGUGUAGCGGUGAAAUGCGUUGAGAUCGGAAGGAACGCCCGUGGCGAAAGCGGGCUCCUGGACCCCACCUGACGCUGAGACGCGAAAGCCAGGGGAGCGAACGGG